UCUAGCCAAGAUGGCUUAACAGUAGUGUAUGUAGAAAGUCGAAAACUAAAUUUGUAUGAAAAUGACAGCUCGUGUCGACAGUCGGUAGCCUAGGCCUUAUAGGCGUGAGUCGGGAUACAAUAAGCGACGCCAUGACAGUGCUACGAAAAGACACACAUUAACGCUAACGCUAUUCGGUAGCCAACGGCCAAUUAAUGUUUCGGCAGUGUAGAAAAAACGGUGUUUUUCCGCCAUGUUUUAGCGUGAUCUCAAAAGCUGCUGUUUGCAAUAAUUCAGUACAACUAUUGCCAUCUUUAAUGGCUACCGUUUUAAAAACAUGGUCAUAUUUUGGACGUUUUAAGGAAAUGAUUUUAAUUUGUUAUCUGUAUUUUUUUAACGUUCUCGUGUAAUUAUAAUAAUUUAAACUAGAGUUAAUAUUUUUAAGUUAAGAGUUUUAGUUUUUCUAUGAAUCAAUGCGAGGAUAACAUAAUAUACACAGAUAAAUAUGAAAAUAUCAAGAAAAUCAGCAAAUUAGUAGAGGUAAAUUCUGUUUAUAUUGGAUAUCUUUUAUUGAUAUUUAUAUUGCAUGUAAGUUCAUGAAAUUGUUCUUUAAUUUGUAGAUAUACAUAUACCAUUUAAUAUUGCUUAUAUUAUGUAAUCACAAAGUAAAAUGAUUGUACAUUUUAUUUGUAUAUUUCAGAUGAGAAAGCAGUCACUAAUGAACCUAUUUAGAAUGAUACCUAUAUUAGAAGUUGUAAAUAUAUUUUAUUGUAAUUAUAAUAGAAGCUAAUGAUAUAAUAUUGAUUUAAAUUAAUCAAUUAAAGUGGAUUUAUACUUCAUGAACUUUGGAUAUAUAAAAUCUAGUGAGCAAUACUAAGUAAUGAAAAAGAGAAGCUAUGGAGUAUGAAAUAAUGGUUGGUUAAGUAACAUUACCUCAAGAACAGGAAACAGUAACUGAAACUAUGUUCUUCCACAUUUAAUCUUAAUAAGUUCAGCAGUUUGAAUGUUAAUGAGAUAUUAUUAUAAACAAACUGCAUUUGUAGAUUUUGGAAAGAAUUAUAUCUUUACAAUAACUAUUAUUAUUUACAAUUGUUGUGUUAAGGAAACAAUCACUAUUAUUUUAAUCGCCCAAGAUGUAUUCAUAGUAAUUGUAGGUAUCAUAGUAAUUUUAUGAAAUCAUCACAACAUCUAACGUUAGGUUUUAUGAAUUGAACAAUUUUUUGUUUAUAACAGCACACAACCAAGAUAUUGACAUUGCUGCAAAUUAACACUUGCAUUUAUUAGUUAAUUAUCUACAUAUAUAUGAAUACAUCUAUAUUUAGGUAGUAAUGCAUUGAAUUUGGUGCACCUGUGUGUGUUCAGUAGUAAUGUCUGUAUUGUUUAAUAAGUUGUUACAUAUGCUUAUUUUUCUAUGUAGACUGCAUUAUGUUAAGGAAGAUAUUUGGUGCCUUAUUUUAAUAAAAAAUAACCAUAA